rnacentral:tRNA from 1 species
GAGGGUAUAGCUAAAGUGAUAGAGCACAUGCUUAAUAUGCAUGAGGUCCUGGGUUCAAUCCCCAGUUCUCCUU